rnacentral:rRNA from 1 species
UACGUAGGGUGCAAGCGUUGUCCGGAAUUAUUGGGCGUAAAGAGCUCGUAGGCGGCUUGUCGCGUCGGCUGUGAAAACCUGGGGCUCAACCCCGGGCCUGCAGCCGAUACGGGCAAGCUAGAAUUCGGUAGGGGAGACUGGAAUUCCUGGUGUAGCGGUGAAGUGCGCAGAUAUCAGGAGGAACACCAGCGGCGAAGGCGGCGCUCUGGGCCGGAACUGACGCUGAGGAGCGAAAGCGUGGGUAGCAAACAGG